UCCUUUUUUAAAACGAAUCUUAAAAUAGUGACAUAUUACUAUUGGUUUCAUUUUAUACAAGUUUUGUUAUUAUGGCCCCUUGAUUCUUGAUAAUGGCGACGUCCUUCAACAUAUAAAUUACUACACGACUGUACACGACUAUACGAUCUAAGAAAUAUUUGAGCAAGUUAAAAAUGUUAUCAAGGACAGUUGGAGGAUUACAAAAGAUUUUAAAGUGUGUCCCUGACUUGGCAGUAAACAGUUAUGUAGGAAUGAGACAUGCUUUACCAAAGUCUAUGACAGUAUCCAGCAUACAAAAAGCAGAUUUUUCUUCUUACAUGUACCCAAAUAAUACAGCACUAGUUUCACAUACUGAUUGUCAUAGACACAAUGGGUCUCUUUUGAACUUUGGAAGCUCCUUUGAAAGACCCAUUUUGUCUUCUAUUACAAGCCAGUCUUUAAUUCAAGUGCGAGGCUUCAAGAUUGUUCUACGACCACGCUUAAUUUGUGAUGGCUGUUAUUUUGCUUGGCAUCAUGGUAGGAAACAUGUUGAAUGUAGUGACCAUCCUAGGCACAAGCAAAUAAAGAAACUUAGUGAUAGAAAAGUUUGGAAAGAAGAUUAUUCCAAGGGUAAAUUUGUGACGGCUAUGGACUGGAACAGACGAAUUCAUAGACAGUUUGACAGGAAUGUAGACAGAACAGUUUUGUCACACAACUGGCUUGCUGGAAAGCUAGGUACAGAAUUGUAGUACAGUUGUGCUUUACUUUUUUUUUAAUACAUUGUAUCACAGUCUAAAUAAAUUGUUUGUUUACUUGUUA